AUUGAACGCUGGCGGCAGGCUUAACACAUGCAAGUCGAGCGGAGAGAGGUAGCUUGCUACUGAUCUUAGCGGCGGACGGGUGAGUAAUGCUUAGGAAUCUGCCUAUUAGUGGGGGACAACAUUUCGAAAGGAAUGCUGAUACCGCAUACGUCCUACGGGAGAAAGCAGGGGAUCUUCGGACCUUGCGCUAAUAGAUGAGCCUAAGUCGGAUGAGCUAGUUGGUGGGGUAAAGGCCGACCAAGGCGACGAUCUGUAGCGGGUCUGAGAGGAUGAUCCGCCACACUGGGACUGAGACACGGCCCAGACUCCUACGGGAGGCAGCAGUGGGGAAUAUUGGACAAUGGGCGGAAGCCUGAUCCAGCCAUGCCGCGUGUGUGAAGAAGGCCUUAUGGUUGUAAAGCACUUUAAGCGAGGAGGAGGCUACUUUAGUUAAUACCUAGAGAUAGUGGACGUUACUCGCAGAAUAAGCACCGGCUAACUCUGUGCCAGCCGCCGCGGUAACAC
rnacentral:rRNA from 1 species